rnacentral:rRNA from 1 species
UACGGGGGGGGCAAGCGUUGUUCGGAAUUACUGGGCGUAAAGGGCUCGUAGGUGGCCAACUAAGUCAGACGUGAAAUCCCCAGGCUCAACCUGGGAACUGCGUCUGAUACUGGAUGGCUUGAAUUCGGGAGAGGGAUGCGGAAUUCCAGGUGUAGCGGUGAAAUGCGUAGAUAUCUGGAGGAACACCGGUGGCGAAGGCGGCAUCCUGGACCGGCACUGACACUGAGGAGCGAAAGCCAGGGGAGCAAACGGG